ACGCUCGACACCUACGGCAGCAGUAGGGAAUCUUCCACAAUGGGCGCAAGCCUGAUGGAGCAACACCGCGUGAGUGAAGAAGGGUUUCGGCUCGUAAAGCUCUGUUGUUGGAGAAGAACGUGCGUGAGAGUAACUGUUCACGCAGUGACGGUAUCCAACCAGAAAGUCACGGCUAACUACGUGCCAGCAGCCGCGGUAAUCUGAGCGGGCUGGCAAGGC
rnacentral:rRNA from 1 species